rnacentral:rRNA from 1 species
GUUGGUGGUGUGAGUUGUCUGGUUGAUUCCGUUAACGAACGAGACCUUUGGGUAAAAAUAGGAGGAGGAUGGUGGUGAUAAGGUGGCACUGGCGUUGGUGGGAUACGAGCAAUCGCCCCGCCAACAGUUGGAGUUACUGCAUUUCCGUUCUUCAGUUUCCUUCUUUUACCGACAAUCGGUGACAAGCCGAUGGAAGUUAAAGGCAAAAACAGGUCU